GGAGGGGUGGCCGAGUGGCCGAAGGCGCCUGACUGCUACCCAGGUCUGGAACAAUAUCCAGCGCAGGUUCGAAUCCUGUCCCCUCCG
rnacentral:tRNA from 1 species